GCGGCUCUACUCCAACAGGCAGAGAGGCCACUCUCAGGAAGUGGAUGUUCCGGGUUCGAAUCCCGGGAGCCGCACCA
rnacentral:tRNA from 1 species